rnacentral:rRNA from 1 species
UUAAGUUAGAAAGGGCGCACGGUGGAUGCCUUGACACUAGGAGUCGAUGAAGGACGGGACUAACGCCGAUAUGCUUCGGGGAGCUGUAAGUAAGCUUUGAUCCGAAGAUUUCCGAAUGGGGAAACCCACCAUACGUAAUGGUAUGGUAUCCUUAUCUGAAUACAUAGGGUAAGGAAGACAGACCCAGGGAACUGAAACAUCUAAGUACCUGGAGGAAGAGAAAGCAAAUGCGAUUUCCUGAGUAGCGGCGAGCGAAACGGAACAUAGCCCAAACCAAGAGGCUUGCCUCUUGGGGUUGUAGGACAUUCUAUACGGAGUUACAAAGGAACGAGGUAGACGAAGCGACCUGGAAAGGUCCGUCGUAGAGGGUAACAACCCCGUAGUCGAAACUUCGUUCUCUCUUGAAUGUAUCCUGAGUACGGCGGAACACGUGAAAUUCCGUCGGAAUCUGGGAGGACCAUCUCCCAAGGCUAAAUACUCCCUAGUGAUCGAUAGUGAACCAGUACCGUGAGGGAAAGGUGAAAAGCACCCCGGAAGGGGAGUGAAAGAGAUCCUGAAACCGUGUGCCUUACAAAUAGUCAGAGCCCGUUAACGGGUGAUGGCGUGCCUUUUUGUAGAAUGAACCGGCGAGUUACGAUCCCGUGCGAGGUUAAGCUGAAGAGGCGGAGCCGCAGCGAAAGCGAGUCUGAAUAGGGCGUUUAGUACGUGGUCGUAGACCCGAAACCAGGUGAUCUACCCAUGUCCAGGGUGAAGUUCAGGUAACACUGAAUGGAGGCCCGAACCCACGCACGUUGAAAAGUGCGGGGAUGAGGUGUGGGUAGCGGAGAAAUUCCAAUCGAACCUGGAGAUAGCUGGUUCUCCCCGAAAUAGCUUUAGGGCUAGCCUUAAGUGUAAGAGUCUUGGAGGUAGAGCACUGAUUGGACUAGGGGUCCUCAUCGGAUUACCGAAUUCAGUCAAACUCCGAAUGCCAAUGACUUAUCCUUAGGAGUCAGACUGCGAGUGAUAAGAUCCGUAGUCAAAAGGGAAACAGCCCAGACCGCCAGCUAAGGUCCCAAAGUGUGUAUUAAGUGGAAAAGGAUGUGGAGUUGCUUAGACAACUAGGAUGUUGGCUUAGAAGCAGCCACCAUUUAAAGAGUGCGUAAUAGCUCACUAGUCGAGUGACUCUGCGCCGAAAAUGUACCGGGGCUAAAUACACCACCGAAGCUGCGGAUUGAUACCAAUGGUAUCAGUGGUAGGGGAGCGUUCUAAGGACAGUGAAGUCAGACCGGAAGGACUGGUGGAGUGCUUAGAAGUGAGAAUGCCGGUAUGAGUAGCGAAAGACGGGUGAGAAUCCCGUCCACCGAAUGCCUAAGGUUUCCUGAGGAAGGCUCGUCCGCUCAGGGUUAGUCAGGACCUAAGCCGAGGCCGACAGGCGUAGGCGAUGGACAACAGGUUGAUAUUCCUGUACCACCUCUUUAUCGUUUGAGCAAUGGAGGGACGCAGAAGGAUAGAAGAAGCGUGCGAUUGGUUGUGCACGUCCAAGCAGUUAGGCUGAUAAGUAGGCAAAUCCGCUUAUCGUGAAGGCUGAGCUGUGAUGGGGAAGCUCCUUAUGGAGCGAAGUCUUUGAUUCCCCGCUGCCAAGAAAAGCUUCUAGCGAGAUAAAAGGUGCCUGUACCGCAAACCGACACAGGUAGGCGAGGAGAGAAUCCUAAGGUGUGCGAGAGAACUCUGGUUAAGGAACUCGGCAAAAUGACCCCGUAACUUCGGGAGAAGGGGUGCUUUCUUAACGGAAAGCCGCAGUGAAUAGGCCCAAGCGACUGUUUAGCAAAAACACAGCUCUCUGCGAAGCCGUAAGGCGAAGUAUAGGGGGUGACACCUGCCCGGUGCUGGAAGGUUAAGGAGAGGGGUUAGCGUAAGCGAAGCUCUGAACUGAAGCCCCAGUAAACGGCGGCCGUAACUAUAACGGUCCUAAGGUAGCGAAAUUCCUUGUCGGGUAAGUUCCGACCCGCACGAAAGGUGUAACGAUUUGGGCACUGUCUCAACCAGAGACUCGGUGAAAUUAUAGUACCUGUGAAGAUGCAGGUUACCCGCGACAGGACGGAAAGACCCCGUGGAGCUUUACUGUAGCCUGAUAUUGAAUUUUGGUACAGUUUGUACAGGAUAGGCGGGAGCCUUUGAAACCGGAGCGCUAGCUUCGGUGGAGGCGCUGGUGGGAUACCGCCCUGACUGUAUUGAAAUUCUAACCUACGGGUCUUAUCGACCCGGGAGACAGUGUCAGGUGGGCAGUUUGACUGGGGCGGUCGCCUCCUAAAGUGUAACGGAGGCGCCCAAAGGUUCCCUCAGAAUGGUUGGAAAUCAUUCGUAGAGUGCAAAGGCAUAAGGGAGCUUGACUGCGAGACCUACAAGUCGAGCAGGGACGAAAGUCGGGCUUAGUGAUCCGGUGGUUCCGCAUGGAAGGGCCAUCGCUCAACGGAUAAAAGCUACCCCGGGGAUAACAGGCUUAUCUCCCCCAAGAGUCCACAUCGACGGGGAGGUUUGGCACCUCGAUGUCGGCUCAUCGCAUCCUGGGGCUGUAGUCGGUCCCAAGGGUUGGGCUGUUCGCCCAUUAAAGCGGUACGCGAGCUGGGUUCAGAAACGUCGUGAGACAGUUCGGUCCCUAUCCGUCGUGGGCGUAGGAAAUUUGAGAGGAGCUGUCCUUAGUACGAGAGGACCGGGAUGGACGCACCGCUGGUGUACCAGUUGUUCUGCCAAGGGCAUAGCUGGGUAGCUAUGUGCGGAAGGGAUAAGUGCUGAAAGCAUCUAAGCAUGAAGCCCCCCUCAAGAUGAGAUUUCCCAUAGCGUAAGCUAGUAAGAUCCCUGAAAGAUGAUCAGGUUGAUAGGUUCGAGGUGGAAGCAUGGUGACAUGUGGAGCUGACGAAUACUAAUAGAUCGAGGACUUAACCAU